UCAGCCAAUUUACAAGCUGUUUCUCCCGAAAUCUCUCCUCUCCAUCUGCAACAGAACAUAAGCUUUUCAUUAUACACAGCUCGAGGACUAGACGGAAAACUAGAGAGAGAAAAAAAUGAUCUACAGAAAGUGGAGUCUGCUUACUGGCCCGACCUCGAUCAUCGCCGGAGUAAUCGGUACUGUAGUGGUCGCAGAUCUCAUCUUCGUUGAUAACGGUUGGUUGCACAAGGGAGAUGAAAAAAAACAAGAACUAGCAACCAAAACCAAGUAGAAGCAGGAAGGACGCAUUCCAGUUGCUGUAUUCCUUCAAAAAUGCGUUGUUGAAUAAACUGAUCUUGUUCGCUAUACAAUUCAGUUUUUGUGUUUAAAUCCUUUUGAGUUUUGCAGCCUGGAUAGCCAGAAAAUGAAGGAGAGGCAGCAAAUAAAUCAGAAUAUGUAAGUAGUACAAAACUGGCUUAACAUUAUCUUUGAUUUCUAAGGAGCAUUUUGUAUCAUCAAAUCAUUCCAAGAAUCUAUAAGGGGUAAAACACCAAUUCAAACAGUCAA